UCAACACCUGGGCAGUCAGGGCUGACCUGUGGCUCAUCGCGUGUGUUACCGUUGCAUGCUCGCAAAAAAAGGUGAACCGGAACGCAUUGACCGGCAUCAUCAAAGAUGCACAGAAGAAGCUUGACAGAACACAGAAUUAGCGCGGCAAAUCGAGUUCUGGAACAACCACACAACGUGUGUUAGUUUGGCGCAAGCAUCGAAAUUCCGGGGGGGCAGACAUCCAGCACCAGUGUCGAUUACCACACGAUCGAACGACUGGGGGAGCGCACUGAGGGGAUCUCGCACGGCGUCGUUCUUUCCGGACACGGUCCACAUCCGACCAACAGAAGUGCUUUCCCACGAAACUGAAGUGAACACACAUUGUUGGCGAUCGGAGAAGCAAACUGACGGGAUCCCGCACGCCAUCACUGUUUCGGAACGUGGUCCACAUUUGAGCAACAGAAGAGCCUUCCCAGGAAGGCUCUUUCUUUUGUAUUUUCUGCAGCUAGACACGCUGAUCAAGAGCCACGGCUCCCCGAAAGAGAAGCAAAGAGCGACGACGAUUAUGGUGAAGGACUACCAAGGGUCAGAUCCGAGGGAUCCGAGUAAGGACCACACUGCGUGAGAGGUAGGAGGCGAAAAGCGUUCGAGUGGCGUAAACCAGCUCAUUCGAGAGGCGGUGUGCACGGAUCACGCUCGGUCAGCUCCUAGCAGCGGUGGCGAGGCAAAUCUAAUUCUUCUUCGGCCGACAUAGCGGCCCAGCUGCGAGGUACCCGCGGAUCGCCGAGCCCUUGAUACAGACAGGAGUCCCCAACUCACCUUCGACGGGCAGGUCUGGCUGAUGACAGGUAUGCGGAGAGAGGCACGAAGCAAAGGUAGCAGCAGACGUGAGUGCUAGGAUUAAGAACAUGUAAAAAGGAAGAAAAAAAGCAUGCAUAGUGAGCAGGAGAGUAGGGCCGCAGAAAGAAGCAUGAAGGGUAUGAAGCACAAUAAUAAAAUGUUUGCACACUAAGUCUUGUUUUGUGGCGUUUGUAGUUGACUAGCCCGGCCGACUAAUCCCCUUUUCGUCACGGAGAGGUCGUUUCACAACCCAUGAUCAACGAAGAGUUUUGAAUCUACGAAAGGAAGAAACGGGGACAGGUACCAACCGUUUCACAAUCAGGGGGAAAGAUGAUUGACGAAUCUUUAGGAGUGACUUUGCUAAGAAGAUUAAUGUACACUCCAUGGGUCCUCGACGU